UACAGAGGGUGCAAGCGUUGUUCGGAAUUACUGGGCGUAAAGGGUGAGUAGGCGGUUUUGUAAGUCAGAUGUGAAAGCCUGGGGCUCAACCCCAGAAUUGCAUUUGAAACUGCAAGACUUGAGUAGAGUAGAGGCAAGCGGAAUUCCAAGUGUAGAGGUGAAAUUCGUAGAUAUUUGGAGGAACACCAGUGGCGAAGGCGGCUUGCUGGGCUCUUACUGACGCUGAGGCACGAAAGCGUGGGGAUCAAACAGG
rnacentral:rRNA from 1 species